AACGAACGCUGGCGGCAGGCCUAACACAUGCAAGUCGAACGAAGUCUUCGGACUUAGUGGCGCACGGGUGAGUAACACGUGGGAAUAUACCUUACGCUGGGGGAUAACAUCGGGAAACUGAUGCUAAUACCGCAUACGCCCUUCGGGGGAAAGAUUUAUCGGCGCAAGAUUAGCCCGCGUCCGAUUAGCUAGUUGGUGAGGUAAUGGCUCACCAAGGCUCCGAUCGGUAGCUGGUCUGAGAGGAUGACCAGCCACACUGGGACUGAGACACGGCCCAGACUCCUACGGGAGGCAGCAGUGGGGAAUAUUGGACAAUGGGCGCAAGCCUGAUCCAGCCAUGCCGCGUGAGUGAUGAAGGCCUUAGGGUUGUAAAGCUCUUUCACCCACGACGAUGAUGACGGUAGUGGGAGAAGAAGCCCCGGCUAACUUCGUG
rnacentral:rRNA from 1 species